rnacentral:rRNA from 1 species
UGGUGGAGCGAUUUGUCUGGUUAAUUCCGAUAACGAACGAGACUCUGGCCUAUUAAAUAGUUCGCCGAUUCCGAUCUGUCGGUGUUAACUUCUUAGAGGGACAAGUGGCUUUUAGCCACGCGAGAUUGAGCAAUAACA